GCCCUUCAAAGUGAACAGAUUGGGAGAGGCACUUACAGAUUAAUCAUCACAUUGAGAAGAAUUAAGCCUUAUUUGCUUUUUAUUGUUUGCAGACAAAAUGGGGAGUGAAAAAGUCAGAACAGUGCUAUUAAUUAUAUUGGUACAAGGAGUAAUUGUGGACGCUCAAACCAUAAGUACAGUUGCCCCUAUAACUACGACAGCUGCCCCCACAACAACUACAGCUGCCCCUACAACUACAACAGCUGCCCCGACAACAACUACAGCUGCCCGACAACUACAACAGCUGCCCCUACAACAACUACAGCUGCCCCUACAACUACAACAGCUGCCCCUACAACAACUACAG